rnacentral:lncRNA from 1 species
CUGGGUUAUCUAUUCUGCUCCAUUUGUCUAUGUUUCUGUUUUGGCUACUAUGGCAUUGUGGCAUAUUUUAAAGUCUGGUAGUGUGACGCCUCCAGCUUGUUCCUACUGCUCAGGAUUGCUUUGGCUAUUUGGGAUCUUUUGGGGUGACAUACAAAUUUUAGAAUUUUUCUUUCUUUUCUUUGAAGAAUGUCAUUGUUAUUUCGAUAGGGACAGUCUGGAUUUUAAACUGUGGUAUCUGGAAGUCAAUAAUGUGAAUUUCUCGGAUUUUGUAUCCAGCCUCAUCUACAAACCAUGUCUUUUAAAUGACCAUACCUGGAGUUCCAAACAGCCCUCAAUCUGACACCUCACUUUCUUGAGUUACUGACAGUUGCAUUCCUUAAAACCAGUGACAGUCACAAUGAAAGAGAAAAUAUUCUCAGGAGGAAGUAGCUGUCAAGGAUGGCUAGACUGGAAAUUUUACUUAUCUUGACAGCAGUUUUGACUGUAAUGGAUUUACCUCCAGGAUUAGUGUUUGCCUACUUUCGCCUUUUCCUACCCUCUCCCUGGUUUAAGCAAAUGUCUGGAUCACUAUGAUGUUGUUCUAUUGUCUGGAUGUGGUUUCACAACUGGGAGGGAGAUGCUAAUGGAACCAAGCAAGAAGAAGUCAAGAAAAAUAAUAACCAUCUUACGAUGUGCAGGGUAGCCUUCCGCAAAAAGACUAGCAUCUCAAUAGCGCCAAGGUUGAGGAUCUUUGUUUAAGUCUCACCUUGCAAAGAGCAGAGCAUGUGUGUGAACUAUGAACAAUUCUUAUUUUGUGAUGUAAUAGAAUGCCUCAAUUUGUGCUCUUGUCAUAAUUUAACUCCUUUAAGCAUGAAAUAAAUA